AAGGAAUUCAUUAAAGUGAGAAUAUCAGGGAAUGGCAGACAGCAAGGAAGAACAGGCAGGGAAGGAAAGCUCAUUGAACUCUGCUCAGCAUUGGGCGAAUCCCCUGCCAACAGGGUCACCUGGUGUCCAGGGUCAGCUUGAAUCUGCACGGGGUGGAAACUGAGUCCCGAACACCCUCAGGAUUCCAGGGAGCCACAGAGCACAUGGAGUGAGAUUCUGUUCUGAGGACUUCCCAAAGUAAAGUUCAUGAUCGUACAGCUGCCAUCCUGUCUGGUCACCCAGGCCAUGGGAACUUGCAAGCCCAAAUCAGAGCUCUCAGUAGCCCCUUACUUACCUGGAUUUAAAGAGAGACAGGAGUGAAGACUUGCGGACAGCCUCAGAGAGGAGGCGCACUUAAGGGUUUAGGGUGUGGGGUUUUAUCAGGCUGUUUGGGUAAGGGUCAGCAUAAGGCAUGAUGUGUACAGGUGAUUCAUAAUUCCUUUGAAGUUUUGCCUUAAGAUUAGGGUUAUUUAAAAUACCAGCAGAAACACUGUCAGGUUGGACUGAGUGGACAGAAACCAUACAAAAUGAAUGAGGCCUUUAGACUCCUAAACUUUGAUAGGCAGUAAGCAGGCUGAGACCAACUCUCAGCUACACAACAUGGGUUACCUUUAGUGGAACAGGAGGGAAGAAUCAAGGGAUAGAACCACAGACUUAGAGGAUAGAGCCAAGAGCCAUGGAGAACAUUCUCAGGAAAGAGAAGGCCUGCCCUGUAAUUGAGGAAAUUUCAACAUUUGCCUGAAUGGACUGAAGAAGUGCUGUGAAGCAGUAAUCUUUGUGUGCCUCCUGUUUUCUCUCUUUUGAGUAGGAGUGUCUACAGCAGUCAUCCUGUGCCUCUCCCACCACCAUAUGUAGGGUGUAAAAUGGGGCAGAUAACUUGUAUCUUUGAUUUACAGAUCUUCAGCCAGAGAGAAACUACACUUGAAUUAUACUUAAAACUGUAUACUGAACCAUAAUGUUGUUCAAGUAAUUGUACUUUAAUGAUAUCAAGAUAAAAAAUAAAAAAAAAAAAAGAACUAUAUACUGAAGGAACUAUACUCAGCUUCAUAUGCCCCGGGCCCUCAUGUACAUGGUAAGAUUCUGCAUUUGGAACUGAUGCUGUAACAGGAUCAAACUUUUGGGAGCCUGUGAAAGAGUGAGUGCAUUUUGCAUGUGAGGGACAUGAAUCAUUGGGGGCCAGAGCACAGACUGUAGUAACUGGCCUCCCUGAUGGCCCCCAGUAAUUCUUGCUUCCUAAUAUUCAUGUCCCUAUUUAGCCCCCUACCACAGUGAAUAGGACUGAUUCGUGCAAUGCAUAGGCUAUUGUGAAAAUAACAGUGUUGCUUCAUAAAAAAUAUUGCAGUUUCCACCUUGCCCUCUCUUGGAUCUGUCACUACAGCGGAAGCCAGCUGCCAUGUCAUGAGAGGACACUCCAUUCUAAUGGGGAGGUCCAUGUGGUGAGGAAUUGAGACUUCCUGCCAACAACUGGCACUGUUUUAACAAGAAUGCUUAUGAGCUACCUGAAGCAGAACCUCAAGCCCCAGUCAAGCUUCAGAGGACUACAUCUCUGGCCAACAUCUUGACUGAAACCUCAGAAUACAUCCUGAGUCAGAACCAUCUAGCUAAACUGCUCCUGGAUUCCUGACCCACAGAAACUGUGUGAGCAACUCACUCGACAGAUAAACUUGUUCAUGUGCAAAGUUACAGAUGCUGUGGAAGCACAGCUUAGUAGGUAAGGGCCUGCAUGGAUGGAGUCCUGCCUGACGUUUCCUGGCUGUCACCUUGGGAAGUCACCCGAUCGUCUGUGCUUUGGUCCGUUCACCUGUAAUAAAUACCUACCUCAGACGGUGGCCAUGGUGGAUUGAGUUCACUUUUGAAAUGUGUUUAAGAGUGACUGGCACACAGUAACAUAUGUGUUAUUAUUUGUUACCAUUCUUGCAUAUCAUGUUUGCUAGUAGUAAAAAGCUGGAGACGACCAAAAUGUCCAUCAACAGGGGACCAAUUAAACCAAUCAUAGUAUGUGCCUAAUGGAAUUAUAUGCAAACAAUAAAAAGAUUAGA